GCAUAUCAAUAAGCGGAGGAAAAGAAACCAACAGGGAUUACCUCAGUAACGGCGAGUGAAGCGGUAACAGCUCAAAUUUGAAAGCUAGCUCUUUUAGGGUUCGCAUUGUAAUUUGUAGAAGAUGCUUCGGGUGUGGCCCCGGUCUAAGUUCCUUGGAACAGGACGUCAUAGAGGGUGAGAAUCCCGUAUGUGACUGGGUGCUUUCGCUCAUGUGAAGCUCUUUCGACGAGUCGAGUUGUUUGGGAAUGCAGCUCAAAAUGGGUGGUAAAUUUCAUCUAAAGCUAAAUAUUGGCCAGAGACCGAUAGCGCACAAGUAGAGUGAUCGAAAGAUGAAAAGCACUUUGGAAAGAGAGUUAAACAGUACGUGAAAUUGUUGAAAGGGAAGCGCUUGCAACCAGACUUGCGCGCUGAUGAUCAUCCGGGCUUCUGUCCGGUGCACUCGUCUGCGCUCAGGCCAGCAUCGGUUUCGGUGGUGGGAUAAAGGCCUUGGGAAUGUAGCUCCUCUCGGGGAGUGUUAUAGCCCUCGGUGCAAUGCCGCCUAUCGGGACCGAGGACCGCGCUUCGGCUAGGAUGCUGGCGUAAUGGUUGUAAGCGACCCGUCUUGAAACACGGACCAAGGAGUCUAACAUCUAUGCGAGUGUUUGGGUGUCAAACCCAUACGCGUAAUGAAAGUGAACGGAGGUGAGAACCCUUAAGGGUGCAUCAUCGACCGGUCCUGAUGUCUUCGGAUGGAUCUGAGUAAGAGCAUAGCUGUUGGGACCCGAAAGAUGGUGAACUAUGCGUGAAUAGGGUGAAGCCAGAGGAAACUCUGGUGGAGGCUCGCAGCGGUUCUGACGUGCAAAUCGAUCGUCAAAUUUGCGUAUAGGGGCGAAAGACUAAUCGAACCAUCUAGUAGCUGGUUCCUGCCGA
rnacentral:rRNA from 1 species